rnacentral:rRNA from 1 species
AGUGAACGCUGGCGGCAGGCCUAACACAUGCAAGUCGAGCGGCAGCGCGUCCGACCACCCUCGGGUGGUCGGAUGGCGGCGAGCGGCGGACGGGUGAGGAAUGCAUCGGAAUCUGCCUCGUUGUGGGGGAUAACGUAGGGAAACUUACGCUAAUACCGCAUACGACCUGGUGAAGUGGGGACGUCGGCCGUCACGCGAUGAGAUGAGCCGAUGCCGGAGUUAGCUAGUUGGCGGGGUAAAGGACCGACCAAGGCGACGAUCCGUAGCUGGUCUGAGAGGAUGAUCAGCCACACUGGAACUGAGACGCGGUCC